rnacentral:rRNA from 1 species
AGUGAACGCUGGCGGUAGGCCUAACACAUGCAAGUCGAACGGCAGCACAGUAAGAGCUUGCUCUUACGGGUGGCGAGUGGCGGACGGGUGAGGAAUACAUCGGAAUCUACUUUUUCGUGGGGGAUAACGGAGGGAAACUUACGCUAAUACCGCAUACGACCUACGGGUGAAAGCAGGGGAUCUUCGGACCUUUCGCGAUUGAAUGAGCCGAUGUCGGAUUAGCUAGUUGGCGGGGUAAAGGCCCACCAAGGCGACGAUCCGUAGCUGGUCUGAGAGGAUGAUCAGCCACACUGGAACUGAGACACGGUCCAGACUCCUACGGGAGGCAGCAGUGGGGAAUAUUGGACAAUGGGCGCAAGCCUGAUGCAGCCAUACCGCGUGGGUGAAGAAGGCCUUCGGGUUGUAAAGCCCUUUUGUUGGGAAAGAAAAGCUGCAGAUUAAUACCCCGCUGUUCUGACGGUACCCAAAGAGUAAGCACCGGCUAACUUCGUG